rnacentral:rRNA from 1 species
GAUGAACGCUAGCGGCAGGCCUAAUACAUGCAAGUCGGACGGGAUUCAGGAGCUUGCUUCUGAUGAGAGUGGCGCACGGGUGCGUAACACGUAUGUAACCUACCUUUAUCAGGGGGAUAGCCUCUCGAAAGAGAGAUUAAGCCCGCAUAGAAUCACAGCACAGCAUUGUGUAAUGAUCAAAUAUUUAUAGGAUAAAGAUGGGCAUGCGGAACAUUAGCUAGAUGGCGGGGUAACGGACAACCAUGGCGACGAUGUUUAGGGGAGCUGAUAGGAUGGCCCCCCAGACUGGAACCGAGAUACGGACCAGAAUGCUACGGGAGGCAGCAGUAAGGAAGAUUGGGCAAUGGGCGCAAGCCUGAACCUGCCAUGCCGCGUGCAGGAAGACGGCCCUACGGGUUGUAAACUGCUUUUAUACGGGAACAACCCCAGAUACGUGUAUCUGGCUGAAUGUACUGUAAGAAUAAGGACCGGCUAACUCCGUG